UACGAAGGGGGCUAGCGUUGUUCGGAAUUACUGGGCGUAAAGCGCGCGCAGGCGGUCCUUUAAGUCGGGGGUGAAAGCCCAGAGCUCAACUCUGGAACUGCCUUCGAAACUAGAGGACUUGGGUACGGGAGAGGUGAGUGGAAUUCCGAGUGUAGAGGUGAAAUUCGUAGAUAUUGGGAAGAACACCGGUGGCGAAGGCGGCUCACUGGCUCGUAACUGACGCUCAUGCACGACAGCGUGGGGAUCAAACAGG
rnacentral:rRNA from 1 species